rnacentral:rRNA from 1 species
AACGAACGCUGGCGGCAGGCUUAACACAUGCAAGUCGAACGCGUGUAGCAAUACACGAGUGGCGCACGGAUGAGUAACGCGUGGAUAUCUGCCUUUUGGUUCGGAAUAACCCCGGGAAGCUGGGGCUAAUACCGGAUGGUUCCUUCGGGAUAAAGAUUUAUCGCCAAAAGAUGAGUCCGCGUACGAUUAGCUAGUUGGUGAGGUAAUGGCUCACCAAGGCGACGAUCGUUAGCUGGUCUGAGAGGACGAUCAGCCACACUGGGACUGAGACACGGCCCAGACUCCUACGGGAGGCAGCAGUGGGGAAUAUUGGACAAUGGGGGCAACCCUGAUCCAGCCAUGCCGCGUGAGUGAUGAAGGCCUUCGGGUUGUAAAGCUCUUUUGGCGGGGACGAUGAUGACGGUACCCGCAGAAUAAGCCCCGGCUAACUUCGUGCCAGCAGCCGCGGUAACAC